AAGACUUUCCCUCUGUAUCCAAAUUAACGAUCAGCCCCCAAUCGCCGAUCUAACGGCGUGUCGUUUAAGAUGGAUAUCGACGCGAAAAGGUUCGGCAGAGGGCCUCGGGAACUUGGUGCUGCUGCCGAUCUCAUAAAUCAGUUUAGGCUGUGUCCUUUUCAUGAAUUCUUUUGCAAAAAGUCGCUUCCUUUAUCAGAGACUCAUUAUCUUCAUAAUGUGGUGGGAGACACAAAAAUCAGGAAAGGGGAGGGGAUGGAAUUGGAUCAGCUGUUGCUAAAGACCCCUCAUACGAGAGAAAGGAAGGCAAACAUACAUCCUUUUGAUUUCGGUAUGCUUAGUGAAGCUUUUCGAAUUAAGGAGACAACUCGUGUUCAUUUACAUUCGGUCGAGAAAGGGAUUCUGACAGAUUACAAGGAAAGGAAGCAUAAAAAGAACAAAAACAAGAAUAAGGAUCGUAAGAAGCACAAUCACAUAGACAACGGCGGUGAUGCUGAUGAAACCAUUAAAAAUAUUACUAAUGUCUUGGAAACUGUGCAGUCGAAGGAACAGCCAGAUAGGAAGAGGAGGCUCAAUGGUCCUGAAGAUCUUUAUGUCCGUGAAAAUAAAAGAGUCAGAACCCAAAGACACUGAAAAUGGAUCUCUAAAGGUGACGCCAUGACGGGUUGAAGACACAUUGCCUACAUUUGUCUGGAUUUUACAACCUGCUCAAAGUUCUUCAGUCAACAAUUACUUUGGAUUCACUGCUUUGAAUCCACGCAAUAUCCUGUGGAGUUGAAGGAUACAUUGGUCACAGCUUUUCUCUCCAUUUUUUUUCCUUUUCCGAAAUUUUAAAUUCCGGAUUUGGAUGGCAAUGUGGGGCUGUGGAUUUGAUUCCAGAUUAAUGGAAAUGUUCAAAGCCAUGUUGAUCUCAAACUAGAACAACCAGUUGCCGACGAUAUAUUUUGUCUCGUGAAAUUCAUUUGGAUUUGAGGAGGACCCAACGGCUUUUACGCAGACAUUUUCUGACCA